UUUCGUUGACACUCUCACUAACGCAAUUGCGGUGUCCGUAUUUAAUAAUAACAUAAUAUACAUACACUAAUGCAAACAAGUUCUUUAUUCUCUGGACUUGAGUAUUUUCCGGAUUCUCCCUCUGUAUCCUUAUUCGACGCUCACCGGCUCACGACGCGGAUUAUCAUGUAUUAUGCUUGUAUACUAUAUAAUGCACUAUUUUAUUUUUUCUCAUUUGUGUUAUAUGCAAUUAUAUAUUAUUUAAAAAAGUUCUAAAAAAGAGACAACAGUUGGACAGAGGUUAAACCAAGCUAACGAAUGGAUCAAUCGAAUGGACAAUAGCUGCAAAUUAAAUCGCCAUCUGUUCAGUGCUGGCACUGACACUGGCACUGACAACUUUUCAUUUAAAAAUUUAACUACCAAUUAUUGGAUUGCGGAUAUUCUUGUUGAGCAGGUUACAUUUGGAGGAAUUCGCCAGCUAUCAGUAACACCUAUAAAUUUGUACCAGCUUAAUAUACAUUAAAAUUUGAUUAUACACCAGCAGUAUAUACUGACAAUUUUGUUGAAAUAAGUAUUAAGAGCAUUUAAUACUUAUUAAUAUAAAAACUGAGGAUUUUCGUGAGUAAAAUUCAUGUUACUACUAAAAAAAACUUUUUCUUUGCUUAUGUUAAAUUCAAUUCUUGUAAAACUACAAUCAGUUUAAUGUAGAUUUUCAGUAUUCGUUUAAUUUGACUAGCUGCAGUUGGUGAUAUUAAGACUUUUAUAUAAUUUAUUUAAGAUGACACUUUACGUGCACUGAUUUUUCAAAAUGAUAUUGUUACUUAUAUUAAAAUUGUCAUUGUUACGACUUCAUUUUUGUUUAAUUACAGGAAUAAGUGUGGCAGUGAUUACCAUCCUCUGAAAUAAAAAUUUAUCCCCCAGAAAUUAAUUAAAUAAAGUAAAUUUAUACACAAUUUCAGAAAUUGCAGGAACAUUCCAUUAUGUAGAAGCUGUUUAUGAAAAUUUUAUUUUCACAAAGAAAAGUAAAUUUUUUACCCAGACAAAAUGUUCUGCCACGCUCAAAAACUCUGGCCAUUAGCGUUGAUGCCCAAAGGCAGCUGGGAUUUCUGCCUUUAUCCGAAAUUCCAACAACACCAAAGUCGAAGACCAAUCAGCACCAACAGACUGUACUCAUUAUAAAGUCAACUGGUAUUCAGCAUCAACAUGGACUACCUGGUAGACCGACGACUCCUAUAUCUCAACCAACCACUCCUAACCGUAUUCAUCAAAGGAAGCACCCAAUCGGACAAUUACUUACACCACGUUCAGGCCGACCACAUAUUAAAUUUUUAAGUGGAGCUGGACAAGUUAUGGUUCAAUCAAAGGAGGGUCCAGAGAUUUUAAAACUUUCGAAAGAGAAUUUUCAAAUGAUAGAGAGUAGAUUUGCGAGCUUAAAUCAAAAAUUGGACCAGGCGGUAGUGCGUUUUGACGCAUUAGAAGCUAAUAUGAACUCUUUGAAAUUUUCUACUGGUGCUUAGUUCGAUAAACCAUCCACAAGUAUGAUGAAUCAACACCUCAGCAACGCGAGCCAAUGAGAAAUUAUUUACUUUUUUAUAAUAUGCACAAUAACGUCAAAUCUAACAUGCGGAGCAUUCUGCAGUACGAAAGAUUAAUGACUGAUGAAUUAUUGACUGAUGUUAUUUGGAAAGGAAAAAAGGGCCAAAAGACUUCAAAACUCACUCUAGUUAAGAAAUGCAUCACUCAUGACUUAAGCACCGUUAUGAAGCAAAUGUACCCGAGCACGACCUUUUCUGAAUUCAAAGGAGCUGUUCUAACAGCGUUGAACGCUGUUAAUGCUAGAGUUUACGCAAAAAAAAAAAAAUAAGCUCCAAGCGGACGAGAAAAAAUGAUAAGGGUGCCAAGGCUGUCAAGUCAAAAAAAAAUCAAGAUGUCAGAUGAAGAUUUUUUUCAAAAUGAGUGGAAUCCUAAAAAUGUCAACAGUGAUGAUGAGGAGACUUCAGGUGAGGAUGAAAAUGAGGAUGGGGAUGAUGUUAGCGGUGACGAUGAAAACACUGGUGAUAAGAACGAGGCUCAAGGUCAUCAAGACGGCCAUGCCAGUCCACAAAUCGCAAACCCAGCUAUAUGAUUUUAAUCUAAUGUAUUAAGGAUUUUUUUUAUUUUUAAAAA
rnacentral:lncRNA from 1 species